UCGUGCCACUGCUGCGUUGGUAGAAGAAUGUAGGCACCCACAGCAGGCCUCUGUGUGUCUGGCAGUGGUGCCUAUACUGCUCAGCAGUGUGGAGGUGGGAAAUGGGCAGAGCUGAGGCAGGACAGAAAGAGCCAAGCCUGGGAUGGGGCAGGAGGGGGAUGAUGGAGGCUCCUGUUCCAGGGCUGGCUGCUGAGACCCAUCAUGGGCAAAAUCCCUUCCCAUUCCUGGCCUCAGUUUCCUCCCUGAUAAAAUGAAGAAGUCAGACCCAAUUGUGAGCCCCUAGAUGGCAAAGAUCCUGGAAGGGUCAGCUGUUUCCUUCUCCAGCUCAUUUUGCAGAUUGAUAAACUGAGGCAAGUGGGGUUCAGUGACUUGUCCAGGGUCACACAGCUAGGAAGUGUCUAAGGCCAGGUUUGAACUUAGGAAGAGUCUUCCCAACUCCAGCUCCCAAGUUCUAGCCAUUGCACCCAACUGCUCUAUUAAGUGCCUACUGUGUGUGAACAGUGGCGAUACAGAAGCAAAAAGGAAACAUUCCCUGCCCUCGGGCAGCCUACAUUCUCCCGGGUGCUGGGGGGGCAUCCAAAAGAAUAGGAAUGGAUGGGCUCCCAAGGACCAUGGAGGCAGCUAUGCCGGGCACAGUCCACGGAGCCCUUAAAACUUCAGCGGGCAGCGGGUUGCCAGGCCAGGCCAAUGAGGUCCCAAAUCCCUCUUGGUCACUCCCUGGAGAAAGCCCCGAUGCUGCCUUCGUCCAGGCUCAUCCAGACCUGCAUGUUUUCCAGUUUCCUCACCCCGAUGGGAUGGAAAAAUUCCCCGAGUCCACCACCACCAGCAUGCUGAGACAGCCUUUCCUCCCAGAAUGUCAGUGUAAGUUGAAGCAACUGCCCUCCUUCUACCAGCUCCGCCAGAAGAACCUUGGGCGUAAGAGGACGACGCAGGCUCAUAUGCACUUCAGUAACACCAAUUUCAAUAGCUGGGUGCUUUGGGCACUACCCGAGACAUCACUCUGA
rnacentral:lncRNA from 1 species